ensembl:lincRNA Gm29107 predicted gene 29107
GGAGGGGGGAGGGGAUAGGGGAUUUUUGGAGAGGAAACUUGGAAAGUUUGAAAUGUAAAUGAAGAAAACAUCUAAUUAAAAAAAAGGUUGUUAACAAGUUAUAAAAAAGUUGUAUGUUUAUUUACUGUCUGUUAUAUAAAUGCAAAUAUCAUUGUCAUUAUACAAGUAAACCUAAUUACUUUGAAACCUUUGUUCAAAUUUAUAGCUUUAUCUUCACAUAUUUGUAUAAUUACCAAUGCUGUAAACACUUUAAAAGAAUAUGAGUAAAUAUCAGUGUUCUAUUGGAAAAAUAAAAAAGCUUUAAUCAACUUAUUGUAAACUUAAUAAAAAUAGAAAUUUUGCCUAUUUCA